AGCAGAGUGGCGCAGCGGAAGCGUGCUGGGCCCAUAACCCAGAGGUCGGUGGAUCGAAACCACCCUCUGCUA
rfam:Monodelphis domestica chrTn_v05.000006 genomic scaffold, whole genome shotgun sequence.